GGAGCCAGGGGGGGUCGAGAGGGGGCAAGUGCCCCCCCUCACCUCCUCAAAAGUUUCUUUACUUCUUGUAAUUUUUUUUUGAAUAUCCUUCUUGCCCCCCCUAACCUCUCAUCAAGGGGCAAAUUAUUUUUAGAAGGACUGAGAUUUAUGAUCUUAGCCAAUGAUUUUUCGCGUUUUCGUAAAUUAGGUUGGCCAGGUUGCUUAGAUCUGUUCAAAAUCUUCAGAAGAAAUGAAGGUUGAAGACAAACAGUGCAGUUCGUAAAACACAGCGUUUAAUGGAACAAUGGAAGAGUUUAAAACCAAAAUUUUUGAUUGAAACGCGUCGUUUCAUUUAUUUGCUGCCUUGCUGGAGUUGCAUUUCGUCAAGACUCAAACGCACCGUUUCUUUUAUUUUGUAUAUCAAGCAAAAGGACAAGGAACAACUUUCCCUUUAAUUAGAAGAAAAGGUUCUCUCUGAAAAACGGUCUCCGUUCUUCUCCUUCCACCCCAGCACAAAUCCAUCAACAAACAGUACCGCUGAAAGUUUCACCGGCACCCUCUUCAGCCAAGGCAGAGAAAUCUGUUCCAGAUGCGCCACUGCCCUCGCAUUUUUCCUCGACUAAACCCAGUAACGAUUCUUUCAAUCAUAUCAAGAAGAUGUUAUGCGCAGCGUGUUGUCUGAAGGAUAAGUGUGUGAAGUAUUUGUCUGAAGGAGGAGGUUUGUGAAGGUUAUAGUGAACGUGUGAAGUGGGAAGUGAAGUGAUAAGGUGGGGGGUGGUUUGGAGGCAACCACGUGUCCCACUUGGUAGAUGGUGUGUGCUUGUGUCUAUGGCCUUUAGAUAAUGUGGGAGUGGGUUAGUGGGCUAUGUAAUGGGAUAUGGGCCAUAUGGCCAUAUGGGGUAGUUAUUUUAAGUGGGUUAGUUAAGUAAAUUUGUUAGUGCUUCACAGCAAUGUUUAGUGUUCUUUCCACAGGAUCCGUUUACAUAAAUGUAUUUGCCUUUCAUCAGUUAA